rnacentral:lncRNA from 1 species
CUUUCUUUAAUUUUUCCUUCUCAACUACAUAAAUUUUCAAACAAUCUCUCCAAAUCGUCAAACGAGAAGGAACAUCAAAUCUAGGUUGCAUUACUUGACAAAAUGAUUUAAAUCCUUGGUUUUCAACAAAGUUAAAAGGUAGCUCAUCAAGUAUAAUCAUUUUUCCCAAGGCUUUCCUACACUCUUCAUAACUAUAACCCACUGCUUUAAUAGUCGCUAGAUUGUCCUCUCCAUUAUUACCCCUUUUAUUAUAGGCCUAGGUUUUAAAACUAAAGUUUUUUGUUUUCAGUCAAUCACAAAAGGAAAUUUUUUGCAUACACCUAGAUGACUCUACAUGUUACUAGUCCUAUUAAAUAUAGUAUGACAUGCAUAGUCUUUUCCACAAUACAUACAUGCAGUCGUAGGAGCUUUAGGAUUACCAUCUAGUUUUUUAAAGGGAUCCUAAAUUUGAGAUGUUUUUUUUAUUAGAUUUAGAAGGUGGAUUACCUUCACUUUCAGUGUUGCUAUUUGUACUAGAAGUAGCAACUAGAACUGGAACUGGAAUAGGCAAAGAAUUGGGUUCCGAACUUAAAGGAUUUGAUUCAUUUGGUGUAGGAUCUUUCCAAUUAUCUAUCUAAAUUUAAAAAAAAAAAAAAACAACAACAACAACAUGAAUCUUAAAGUUAAAGCUAACACGUUCAAUUGCAAAAAGGAUUUAAGGACCAUAAAUUAUUUCCAAUCGCAAAAGCAAGAAAAAAGCCCACUAUUCUGCCAAUUAAUACAAAAGCAAGAAAAAAACCUCCUGGUGAAUCAAGCAAAAGUUGAGCAUCAUGUUAGGUUCAUAAAAUUGAAAAAAGGCAUAUGUCACCUCUCUAUUCUAAAAAACUUGUAUACUACUCGUAGAAAUACACAUCAUAAUGAGCUCCAACAUCUGACAAGGCAAAAAAAUUUCAAACAAGGUGUACACUAUAAUGGACCAAUGGUUUAUAAUAGAUCAUACAUGAAAAUCAAAUAUUUCCAUGGAAAAGGUUUUGCAAAAACACACAAUAAUUUUAACUGAAGAGAGCAAUCAAUAUCUAAAAAUUCAACAAAUCAUGAAAUCAACAAAAUCAACAGUUAACUUGAAUUUAUUAUAAACAUAACAUAACACCCAACAACCAUAUUUUCACAUUGCAGGGGGCAAAGACACAGGGUGAAUGAAAAUUGAAAGGGAAAGGAAGAAUGCGAUAAAUUGUCUUUGGUCUGGGGCAGCGGCUUUUCAUGUAAUGUUAUUAAUUAGGGUACUUAUGUUUACUGUAGUAUUUAUAGGUCUUUUAUUUUAUGGUUGGUUUGGUUUGGUUCACCGGUUUUAGUUGUAAAACCAAAAUUGAACCGAACCGGCAAGAUUUUAUGGUUUUAAAAAUCGGUUUUUCAUUGCGGUUCAGUUUUCUUGGUUCAUUUUUCAUCGGUUUUCUUGGUUAAUUGGUUUUUUUUAACAUCCCCUGCUAAUUACCAUGGAUUUUCACCCCUAGUCAUGACAAAAUUUCUUUUUAAUUUAUUAUUUUUCACUUGGAAGUGGUGUUGUUUAACACGGGGUUUACAUUCUAUGCCUAAUAUGAAGGCCUUCCAGACCUUAACUAGUUACAGUAAGCUAACCCUUCUAUAAAACAGGGCUUAUUGAAUAUUCUGAAGUUAUAAUUGUUUUAGUUAAUACGCCUGAGUUCUCAUUAGCUUUGUCUUGUUUAUCUUUUAUAAACAUCUUCACAACAUAUCCCACAUCAAUAAAAGAUUUAUCUCAUUUUAUAAUUUUUACAUGUGGCAUAUUAUGAUGAGCAAGUUAUGAAUCAUUGGCAUAUUUGGCAUGUCCAUAUUUCAAAAUGAAAACUUUCCCCAUAAUAUUACUUGAUAUUAAAAAAUAAUAUCAUUUUAAUGUGAUAGAUAGAUUGCUUUUAAUAAUUUGUUAUAUUAUAUAUAAACACACACUCACACACAUAAAGGUUUGAUCCCAUAAAUAGGAUCGUCAAGACAUCAAUCUAGUCCAUAUAUCUAAGAAAUUUCCAUUUUCGUCCGUUGAUUAAUCAUAUUUUAUUGAAAUUCUACCAUGGAGAAAUUUAACCAAAAUCUCAAACAUAAGAAUUUGAACCAACAGAAGGGAACAAGGGAAAAGAAAAACAGAGACGCAUGUAUGUUUUCAGCGAUUGAUGUCUUGUAAAAUCAGCAUGUUGUAAUAUUUAUCAACGGUUCACCAUCGGAUGAUGGAGUCCUGCCAGUAUCAAAAUCACCAGUGAUUGAUGUCGAAACUGCAUCCCAAUCAUUGCUUGCAUCAUCCAUGGCGUUUUUUGAUAUUUUACAGUUCUCUUGAAUAUUUAGCUCUUUUUGAGACAAUCCAUUUAUCCUCUCCAACUCUGAUGUGACUUCUCGCAUUGUAGGUCGAUUUUUCCCAUUCAAAUUCAAGCAUCUUCUCGCAAGAUUAGCAACAGAGAUAACUUCUUCACUCUGACAGCCCUCCUUAACUCUAGCAUCAAGAAUAUCAGACAGUCUAUUGUCUUCCAUCAACAUAAUAAAAUGCGUGGCUAAACUUCUAGUCUCUGUCUGACUUACAGAAAAUAUCGGUUUUUGUCCACUUAUGAGCUCAACCAGAACCACUCCAAAGCUAUAAACAUCACUCUUUUCUGUAAAUUGACUAGACUGGAAGUACUCGGGAUCCAAGUAGCCAAAAGUACCUUGCACAAGAGUGGUCAAGUGAGUUUGAUCGAUGGAUAUAGAUCUUGAAGAUCCAAAAUCAGAUACUUUUGCUCUGUAUUUCUCAUCUAGGAGUAUGUUUGUAGACUUGAUAUCACGAUGAUAAAUCGGAAUGGAUGUCGCCGAGUGUAGAUAGGAAAGUGCUCCAGCAACUUCAAUGGCAAUCCGUAAUCGCAUCUCCCAAGAUAACAAGAGAUCUUCGUUUUGAUCAUGGAUAUACUUGUAAAGAUUUCCAUUGGGAAUGAACUCAUAGACUAGCAACGGAACUUCAGUCUCCAAGCAACAACCGAGCAACUUAACCACAUUCCUAUGGUUAAUCUGUGAAAGAACGACGACCUCAUUGAUAAAUUCUUCAAGCUUUCCUUCAUCAACGACCACGGACUUCUUAACAGCAACAAUCCUUCCAUCUGCUAACAUCCCUUUAUAAACUGUGCCUUGACCACCUUGACCGAGUAUUCUAUUCACAUUAAAACGAUCAGUGGCUACUUCCAACUCCUUUGAACUGUAUAUUUUUGUUUUUUGAACCCAACCUUCAGCAGCACGUAAUUCCUGCUGUAACAAUAGCCCACCAUUUCGUUUGAAGAAUUUCUUUUUGAGUUCAAUCUUUUUCCAUUUCUUUACAAGUUUAUAUAACCACCAAAUGCCCAUCAGCAAUGACAAUGCCAAGACAACUGCGCCUAUAACUGCAUUAUUUACAACAACGAAGAAAAAGUUAAUUUGUUGACAUGUGCAAUCAUCAGCAUAUAUAUAUAUAUAUAUAUGACUACUGAAUAGCAACAAGCUAGAUUUAGUAGCUAGUAUUUUAUACAUUUAAUCUUUUAGCUCACUCUAAAUGAUGACAAGUGCUUAACAUUUUAGUGAAAUCCAAGAGCUUCUUCUCUGUUUUAAUACAAAGGGAGGUUCCAUUAAAACAACAACAAAAAAAUUUACUGAGUCCUAGGGGGUGUACAGGGUGCCAUACCCCUAUUUACCAUCUUAGUAAGGAAAACAACAAGAACAACGACAGCAAGAAAGUAGAAGAAGAAGAGAAGAAAUCUUAGACUUACCUAUCAAGGCUAUAUAAAGUUUAUUGAUCUCGCAAUUGAAAUACCCCCGUGUAUUUACACAUUUAAGUAACCCUCGGCACGUAUGCUUCGAUUCUUUACAUUCAUCCACAUCUAAUAAAAUAAUAAGAGCAAAAAUCCAAAACGAAUAAGAUGAUUAUCCAAUGUUAGGACAGAAAUCACUAACAAAAUUAGCAAGCCACCAUUCCCAUAGCAAAAUCAUCAUUUUCUCAACAAACAAAUUGCUGUCAUCACUCAUAUUUUUGGAGGAAAAAAGUAUUUACCUAUGCAUCCAAGGUAAGGGAUGCCCUCAUAGCCCCCAUUACACUCACAUUCGGAUCCAAAAGAUCGAUUGUAAUAUCCUCUGCAAUACACGGGAUCAUCAUCAUUCCAACUCAUUGUCCAACCAAGCUCUGCUGGAACAUAAUCUCUAUAUUGCAAUGUGAAUGGAUCGCUGAUAUUCGAUUCGAACCAUGUCUGGUUCACCAGGAAGGCCAGCUUGCAUCCUUCUCUAUCUUGAUUAUCAUCUGUAGCUUCUAAUUUUGGAUUGAAAACCUGAAGGAAUGAUGGGGGUGAAGCCUGACAGAAAUUUUUACUCUUUACGUCACUGCAGGUAGACACACAACCGAUGAGAUUUGGCGUGAUUCCGGUCAUUAAAGCUUGAGUAUUACAACCUACUGCGAUGAAUACAUUAUCGUUUCUGGAGAAGACAAAAGGAGUUCCCGUCAAAUUCAGAGGCACGCCAUCUUCCCUGCCAGUACAAUUCGAGGAUAUUAUUGGACUUUUGACAGUAACAGUGGCUCUUUCAGCUGAAAUAUUCAGCACCUCCAUGUUGAUUCGACUUAUAAAAGCUCUAGCAGGGUUGACAGUUGCAUUGCAUUCUAUGGCGAACCAUUCGUUCAUGUGGCAAUCUUUUCGUAUUCCGAAGGGGUAUGGAAUGCUGAUGUCUCCACAACGAUCUGGACAACCGGACCUUGCGAUCGGUGCUGCUGUUGCUGCUAUUUGAAACAUUAGCAUCAUCAACAUCAAUUGAAACACCAAUUUCCAAACCAUUCCCCCCCCCUUUUUUUUUUCUUUUCUUUUUGAAAGUUUUGAUUCCAAAUCGCUCCUAAAUAAGUUCAUAUAUCCCAGUAAAGCAAGAAUUGAGAUGUUUCUUUGUACCUUCUGGGUGACUCACCGGGUCAAACCAGCUAGUAUAAAUAAAGAAUAAACACCGGUGGAAUGUAGAUUUUCAGUAGCAUAUAGUUGAAAAGUCGUCCAGUACCUUGGUCUCCAGAGAUCGGUUCAAAUUUGAUUUUUCAAGGAAGUAAUGAAUAUAAAAAACGUGUUCAGUAUACUGUUCGCUAGUCAAUUGUGCAGUUCUGAGAGUUACUAGUCAAUUUUCAUAUGGUUUUGAUUUUUAUUUUUAUUUUGUUUACAAAUGAGAGAUUCGAGCUUGAAAUUUUUAGGGAAGAAAAAAAAAAAACACUUCCAUCAUCCGAGUUACAAUAAAAUUCUUUCAGGUUUCUUUUUUUGACCGUUGUUUUUUUUUUUUCUUGUUUGGCUGCUGCAAAGAAGAGAAGAAAGAUUGCAAUUGUUUUCGAAGUCGAAAAAAGAUAAAUUCCAGAAUCAUAGAAAUUUAAAACUUCAAGAAGAUGGUUAUCUUUUGGAAAUCGAAUUCCUAUACGUUGAAGGAUUUUUC